rnacentral:rRNA from 1 species
GACGAACGCUGGCGGCGUGCCUAACACAUGCAAGUCGAGCGAUGAAGUUUCCUUCGGGAAACGGAUUAGCGGCGGACGGGUGAGUAACACGUGGGUAACCUGCCUCAUAGAGGGGAAUAGCCUUCCGAAAGGAAGAUUAAUACCGCAUAACAUUGCAGUUUCGCAUGAAACAGCAAUUAAAGGAGCAAUCCGCUAUGAGAUGGACCCGCGGCGCAUUAGCUAGUUGGUAAGGUAAUGGCUUACCAAGGCGACGAUGCGUAGCCGACCUGAGAGGGUGAUCGGCCACAUUGGGACUGAGACACGGCCCAGACUCCUACGGGAGGCAGCAGUGGGGAAUAUUGCACAAUGGGGGAAACCCUGAUGCAGCAACGCCGCGUGAGUGAUGACGGUCUUCGGAUUGUAAAGCUCUGUCUUUGGGGACGAUAAUGACGGUACCCAAGGAGGAAGCCACGGCUAACUACGUGCCAGCAGCCGCCGUAAAAC